AAUCGAACCCGGAGAUAGCUGGUUCUCCUCGAAAUAGCUUUAGGGCUAGCCUCAUGAGAGUCUUAUGGAGGUAGAGCACUGAAUUGCCUAGGGGGCGUCAAAGCUUACCAAAGCAUAUCAAACUCCGAAUGCCAUCAAGAUGAUUCAUGGGAGUCAGACCAUACGAGAUAAGUUGGAUGGUCAAAAGGGAAAGAGCCCAGACCUACAGCUAAGGUCCCAAAGUGCGUGUUAAGUGGAAAAGGAUGUGGGGAUUCUAAGACAACUAGGACGUUGGCUUAGAAGCAGCCAUUCAUUGAAAGAGUGCGUAAUAGCUCACUAGUCGAGAGUCCCUGCGCCGAAAAUGUCCGGGGCUGAAACACGACACCGAAGCUUAGGAAUGUGUAAACAUUGGUAGAGGAGCAUUGCUGGCGGGAUGAAGCCAUACCGUAAGGAGUGGUGGACUGCUAGGAAGAGAGAAUGCCGGAAUGAGUAGCGAGAUGAAGGUGAGAAUCCUUCAGGCCGAAUAUCUAAGGUUUCCAGAGUAAAGCUGAUCUGCUCUGGGUAAGUCGGGGCCUAAGGCGAGGUCGAAAGACGUAGUCGAUGGAUAACAGGUUGAAAUUCCUGUACCGCAUAUAAACAGAACUGUGGGGACACAGACAGGGAAUGGAAUCCGGGAAUGGAUAUCCCGGUGCAAGCGAGGUAGGAGUGCUGUUGGCAAAUCCGCAGCACGAUCUGAAGACGUGACGCGUACCGAACAUAAGUAGGGAAGUCCAGGCCCCUGGCUGUCAAGAAAAGCCGCUAUUGUUUUAUAUGUGCCCGUACCGCAAACCGACACAGGUGGAUGAGGAGAGAAUCCUAAGGCCGACGGGAGAAGCAUUGUUAAGGAACUCGGCAAAAUGACUCCGUAACUUCGGGAGAAGGAGUGCCAUGAGAGUGGCCGCAGAGAAAUGGCCCAAGCAACUGUUUAGCAAAAACACAGGUCUAUGCAAAACCGCAAGGUGAAGUAUAUGGGCUGACGCCUGCCCGGUGCUGGAAGGUUAAGGGGAGAGGUUAGCGCAAGCGAAGCUUUGAACUUAAGCCCCAGUAAACGGCGGCCGUAACUAUAACGGUCCUAAGGUAGCGAAAUUCCUUGUCGGGUAAGUUCCGACCCGCACGAAAGGCGUAAUGAUUUGGGCACUGUCUCAACGAUACACCCGGUGAAAUUGAAAUACCAGUGAAGAUGCUGGUUACCUGCGCCAGGACGGAAAGACCCCAUGGAGCUUUACUCCAGUUUGAUACUGGGAUUCGGCAUGGUAUGUACAGGAUAGGUGGGAGACUGAGAAGGUAUGACGUCAGUUGUACCGGAGUCGCUGUUGGGAUACCACCCUUACCAUGUUGGAUUUCUAACCUGUGGCCGUAAGCCGGUCAGGGGACAAUGUCAGGCGGGGAGUUUGACUGGGGCGGUCGCCUCCGAAAGGGUAUCGGAGGCGCUCAAAGGUUCCCUCAGAAUGGUUGGAAACCAUUCGAAGAGUG
rnacentral:rRNA from 1 species